CCUACGGGUGGCAGCAGUGGGGAAUAUUGGACAAUGGGGGCAACCCUGAUCCAGCCAUGCCGCGUGUGUGAAGAAGGCCCUCGGGUUGUAAAGCACUUUCAGUGAGGAAGAACGCCUGGUGGUUAAUACCCAUCAGGAAAGACAUCACUCACAGAAGAAGCACCGGCUAACUCCGUGCCAGCAGCCGCGGUAAUACGGAGGGUGCGAGCGUUAAUCGGAAUUACUGGGCGUAAAGCGCGCGUAGGUGGCUUGAUAAGCCGGUUGUGAAAGCCCCGGGCUCAACCUGGGAACGGCAUCCGGAACUGUCAAGCUAGAGUGCAGGAGAGGAAGGUAGAAUUCCCGGUGUAGCGGUGAAAUGCGUAGAGAUCGGGAGGAAUACCAGUGGCGAAGGCGGCCUUCUGGACUGACACUGACACUGAGGUGCGAAAGCGUGGGGAGCAAACAGGAUUAGAUACCCGAGUAGUC
rnacentral:rRNA from 1 species